ensembl:lncRNA
UUCUUCAGUAGCUCCAACAGCUAUUUCAUCUUUGAAGCGCAGCAAACAUGAAAACGUUGUCUGGAAGCUAAAGCUGGAGAAUGCAAAAGAAAAAAUUAAGUCCUUGGACAAUGAAAGGGACUUCUUAAGGAACCAACUAUCUGAGGCUUUGUCGCUUGCAAAUAAAGAGGACCAAGUGACAGCAGCGCCCUCCUUGUACGAAAAGAGUAUUGAAAAAUCCUCUUCAUCUUCCUCCUCCACCUCCGCCUCCUCCUCCUCCUCCUCAUCCUCCUCCGACAGUUCCUCCUCUUCCUCAUCAUCUUCUUCAGAAAGAGGGAAGAAGAAGAAGAGGAACAACAGCAACAACAAAAAAGACAGCAAGAAAAAAAAAAGGGAAGAAAGGAAACAAAAAGAACACCAAGAUAGGAAAGAGUCCUCACCCCAGAAGAGUCCAUGGAUUGCUACAGGCGCGUCUUUGUAGCAGUGAAAAAGGGCAUGACAAAAACGGAGGCAUACGUCAAAGUUGGGGUUGAC